ACUAAACAGCUAGCUCGACCCACACAACCAGAUCAACAACAUAUUCUAGUUUUACACAAGCUUAAGCCACCUAAUAAACCAUUCGACCACCCCAGUAUGGGCGACAGAAAAGGACAUGCGAAGCUAUAGAAGAAGUACCGCAAGGGAAAGCUGAAAGAGCGAUGAAAUAGCGCACUGAAGUAAACGAAAGCAGAGAUUAAGUCUCGUACCUUUUGCAUCAUGAUCUAGCCAGUAAUUUCAAGCGAAGAGACCUCUAGUUUGAACCCCCGAAACCGGACGAGCUACUCCGGGACAGCCUAUUUAAGGGCCAACCCGUCUCUGUGGCAAAAGAGUGGGAAGAUCCCCGAGUAGAGGUGAAAGACCUACCGAGUCAGGUUAUAGCUGGUUGCCCAAGAAAUGGAUAGAAGUUCAGCCCCGAAAGCCCUAGCCCAUUGCGGUCCCACCAAGAUAAGGCAUAAGGACAUCAGCGGGAGUAAGUCAAAGGAGGUACAGCUCCCUUGACAAAGGAUACAACCUUCACAGGAGGCUAAGGAGUACAAUUUACCCAAGGCUAUGGGUUUCAGUGGGCCUAAAAGCAGCCACCUGACUAGAAAGCGUUAAAGCUCAUACCAAAUCAAGCCUAUUAUACCACCAAAAACCUUCAACGCCCCUAAAACAUAUUGGGCCCUUCCAUGCCCCCAUGGAAGAGACCAUGCUAGAACGAGUAAUAAGAAGAACGAACUUCUCCCCGCACAUGUGUAAGUCGAAUCGGACCCUCCAUCGACAACUAACGAACCCACCAAAAGAGGGACAUGCAUCACUGCCUAAUCAAGCCAAGAAAAGCAUGCAAGCUGAAAUCGUUACCCCCACACAGGAGUGCUUAGAACAAAGGGAAAGACUUAAAGGAUAAAAAGGAACUCGGCAAACCUAGACCCCGCCUGUUUACCAAAAACACCGCCUCCUGCUUGUUUUAACCAUAGGAGGUCCCGCCUGCCCUGUGACCAAAAGUUUAACGGCCGCGGUAUUUUAACCGUGCAAAGGUAGCGCAAUCAAUUGUCUUUUAAAUGGAGACCUGUAUGAAUGGCACCACGAGGGUUUGACUGUCUCUUUCUCCCGGUCAAUGAAACUGAUCUGCCCGUGCAGAAGCGGGCAUACUUGCACAAGACGAGAAGACCCUAUGGAGCUUUAGACGCCCACCAACCAUGAAAAGCGGUCCAGCCAAUGGACCUUCAAAUAGCAUGGCUUUGGCACAAACGUCUUCGGUUGGGGCGACCACGGGGGAAAGCAAAGCCCCCGAGAGGAUUGGAGUAGUACUUCAAAACCGAGAGCCACAGCUCUAAGUCACAAAAAAUUUGACCUACAAUGAUCCGGCUUACUGCCGAUCAACGGACCAAGUUACCCUAGGGAUAACAGCGCAAUCCUCUCCCAGAGUCCAUAUCGACGAGAGGGUUUACGACCUCGAUGUUGGAUCAGGACAUCCUAAUGGUGCAGCCGCUAUUAAGGGUUCGUUUGUUCAACGAUUAAAGUCCUACGUGAUCUGAGUUCAGACCGGAGUAAUCCAGGUCGGUUUCUAUCUGUGAUGCCACCCUUCCUAGUACGAAAGGACCGGAGUGAUGAGGCCCCUGCUCUAAGCACGCCUCCCCCCCAACCUGAUGAAGGCAACUGAAUCAGAUAAAGGGGGGCCCACCUCCGGCCCACGAGAAGGGCA
rnacentral:rRNA from 1 species